rnacentral:lncRNA from 1 species
CACCGUUUCACUCCAAGUUUUUCACGAUGGAAGGAAGGGAGAAGGGUCUCCCCCUUAAAUAGAGCCGGAGGAGAGGAGUUUGACUCCUCUUCGAUGAGGUUUCUGACUCCGAUUAGGAGCCGAUCGGGAGAAUUCCGACUCCGAUGAGGUUUCCGCUCCAAGUUUUUUUUUUGGGGGGCUUUUGGGUUUAAGGCCCAAUGGGUCGGAUGUUACAUAGAGUGACACUGAAUAACCAUGUCAACUCAUAUACGUAUCUACCCUCAUAUACGCUUAAUCUCAU